ensembl:lncRNA
CUUUGGCUCACCGGCGCACCCCCCCAGCCUUCUCACCUGCCCUGUCCGCCUCCACAGCUGUCGUCAAUGGACAAAUGCUGUAGCAAGGAUCAUGGUGGCGAAAAGUCUAGUGUCUUUAGUGUUUCUAAUUUGUUGCAUCGUUGGAACCGAGAACAAUAAAGGUGAAGAAGCCAGAUGUGGAGGUCCUGGGCUGGUGGAGGUCCUGGGCUGGUGGGGAUCCCGGGCUGGUGGAGGUCCUGGGCUGGUGGCGGUCCC